CUUGACGACCAUAGAGCAUUGGAACCACCUGAUCCCAUCCCGAACUCAGUAGCUGAUGAACGAUGCAUCGCCGAUGGUAGUGUGGGUUU
rnacentral:rRNA from 1 species